rnacentral:rRNA from 1 species
GCCAGGGAAUUACGAGCCCAAGCUUAAAACCCAAAGGACUUGACGGUGCCCCACCCUCCUAGAGGAGCCUGUUCUAUAAUCGAUUCUCCCCGAUCUACCUCUCCGCCUCUUGAAUAACCAGUCUGUAUACCUCCGUCGCAAGCUUACCAUGUGAACGCACAGUGAGCCAAAAGAUCCAUCACCCAAACGUCAGGUCAAGGUGCAGCCCACGAAGCGGGAAGAAAUGGGCUACAAUCUCUACACUAGAACAAACGGAAAACUGUAUGAAACACAGUUAUGAAGGCGGAUUUAGUAGUAAAAAGAAAACAGAGUGUUCUUUUUAACUAGGCGCUGGGACGCGUACACACCGCCCGUCACCCUCUUCAAACAAACUAAAAAGUUACUGACACAAUACCACUAAACAGAAGAGGCAAGUCGUAACACGGUAAGUGUACUGGAAAGUGCACUUGGAACAAAAUGUAACUUAAUCAAAGUAUCCUGCUUACACCAAGAUUAUGUCCGUGAAAUUCUGACCAUUUUGAGCCUAAAUCUCAGCCCUAUUAACCCCUAUGAAAUUUUUACUCCAAUUUUUUCCCCCCCCCAAAACAUUUUUUCAACCCAGUAUAGGCGAUUAAAAAGUUACUAGGAG